AUUAAAAUAGGAAUUUUUUUUUAUGAUUGGCAAAUAAAAAUGAAAGCCAGUAUAGCAAUGCUGAUAUCAUAAUAUGAAACUUAAAGUGAAGAUUAUAAACAAAGUAAAAGAAUCACAACAAAAACACUUGAUAACAAAAAUGACCUUGUGAACAGUUCAACUAACAAAAUGAAAUAUACAGAGAAAACGCUGCUGAUUUUGUUAGAAUUUAUUAGUAGCUUUAUUCAUUGGGAAAAGUGAGUGCAUCUCUAACAAUCUUACAGAUGAAGAAGGAAAGGAAAAAUGAAGAAAGGAAAGGAAGAAGGAAGGAAAGGAGGAAAAACACAUAAUAAAGUAGUUUACUUGCAGGUAAUGUAUUUCCAGCUUUUAAAAAGUGAGAUAAUUAUUAUUUUGCUGCUGAAAGAACAUCAGAUUACAGUGAAACAAAAUGCAGGGAAACAGCUAACAUUUUAAAAAGAAGAAGAAAACGGUCGAGACAACAUGAGUGUGUGCAGGUAUGUCUGUAAUGGUGAUGUUUUUAAAAGAAAAGGAAACUGGGUGGGGUAGUGUGUGCCUGUAGUCCCAGCUACUCUAGGGGCUGAGGCAGGAGGAUCGAUUGAGUUCAGGCAUUGGAGGCUGCAGUGGCCUAUGGUAUAGAAACACUGUAUGUCAGCCUGGGCGACAGAAGGAGGUCUUGUAAUGACAACAAUAACAACAACAACAACAACAAAAACUAAUUUUUUUUUCUCAAUAAUCUUAAAAUCUCUCAAUGUACAUAUUCAAAGUACAAUAAGGCCUCUCUCCUAUCAUAGUCCAUAGGUUCUUGGAAACUGCAACUUCAAUGUGAAACAAGUUUUGCCAUAGGCUAAUGAUAUAAAUAAGAGGUAAGUUCCUAGGCAUAUUUCUGGUCACAAAAACAUCACUACAUUUCUAAAUAAAGUCCAAAAUAUAGCGCCACUGCACUCCAGCAUGGGUGACAGAGUGAGCCUCCAUCUCAAAACAAACAAACGAAAAAACCAAACACUGCUAAUGUUCAACAUUAAAAUAAACUUUAGCUAUACAUAUAUUUAAGAAAUAACAAUUUCAAAAUUAUGUAAUUAUUUUCCUUCUUAUUCCAGUUCAGGGUGGCAGGUGCUGGAGGCCAUCCAGGCAGCUGAGGGUGCAAGGUGGGCACCAGUCCUGGACCGGACGCCAUCCCAUUGUAGAGCACAUUCACAUCCACACCCCCUCCUCCACACACACACACAGUCACUCACACUGAGACAAUCUAUACAUGCCAAUUCACCUAACUUUGGCAUGUGGGAGGAAACCAGAGUACUAGGCUAAAUGCAGACAAAGGGAGGAAUGUUUUAUCAUUCAUGAUAUUUUCUAUCAGGAUGAUACUAAACAUAAAAUUAACUCCUACAUAAGCAUUUUUACAGUAGUAAUGCUCAUGCAAAAUUACAUUACAUGGGAAUAAACAUAACAAGAAAUGUGCAUAUCCUAUGUAAGGAAAUUUCAAACAUAAAAGUUGAGCUUUAAGAAAUGAAAAGGCAUACUAAGAUUGUGUGUAAUUAUAUUCAAC
rnacentral:lncRNA from 1 species